rnacentral:rRNA from 1 species
GACGAACGCUGGCGGCGCGCCUAACACAUGCAAGUCGAACGGAGUCAAGAGGAGCUUGCUUUUCUUGACUUAGUGGCGAACGGGUGAGUAACGCGUGAGUAACCUGCCCUGGAGUGGGGGACAACAGUUGGAAACGACUGCUAAUACCGCAUAAGCCCACGGAUCUGCAUGGAUCUGCGGGAAAAGGAUUUAUUCGCUCUAGGAUGGACUCGCGUCCAAUUAGCUAGUUGGUGAGGUAACGGCCCACCAAGGCGACGAUUGGUAGCCGGACUGGGAGGUUGAAAGGCCACAUUGGGACUGAGACACGGCCCAGACUCCUACGGGAGGCAGCAGUGGGGGAUAUUGCACAAUGGGGGAAACCCUGAUGCAGCGACGCCGGGUGGAGGAAGAAGGUUUUCGGAUUGUAAACUCCUGUCGUUAGGGACGAUAAUGACGGUACCUAACAAGAAAGCACCGGCUAACUACGUG